AUAUAAUAUUGUAAUAUAAAAAAAAAAAUAUUAUGGUCUCUUUAAUGAAGAUGAGGCUAUGAUAAAUUUUAAAACUAUAAGUUGAAUAUAUAAAUAUAUACAUAUAUAAAUACAUAUAUAUGUAUAUAAUACAUAUAUAUAUAUAUAUAUAUAUAUAUAUAUAUAUAUAUAUAUAUAUAUAUUUUUGUAACUUUAUAUGAUAUGUACUUUCAUAUUUAACAUACAUUUAAUAAUGUGACAAGCAUUUUAUAAUUAGAUGGGAUAUUGUUUGAAAGUAUUAUAAAAGGAUUAACACCUCCCAAGCAACCAAGUCAUAAUUUUGAUAUAGGAAGAGUAGUUUUAUUUUAUCAUUAUGGAAAAGGGUUAUAUAUAUGAAUUGAGGAUGUAUUUAAAUAUUUAAUUUUUUAAAAGUGAACAUUUUGUGAAAAUAUGAUUAAAUGUUAACGUUUUUAGAAUUGUGAUUAUAGAUUAAAUUUUUUUGAUCAAUAUAAAUUAUAAGUAGUGUAUAUAAUUUUUUAUUAAAGUUAAUGUAUUAUGCAUAUUAUUAGGUUGUUGU
rnacentral:sRNA from 1 species